GGCUGCGUGCUUAACACAUGCAAGUCGAACGCUGAAGCCGACAGCUUGCUGUUGGUGGAUGAGUGGCGAACGGGUGAGUAACACGUGAGUAACCUGCCCCUGAUUUCGGGAUAAGCCUGGGAAACUGGGUCUAAUACCGGAUACGACCACCUGACGCAUGUUGGGUGGUGGAAAGUUUUUCGAUCGGGGAUGGGCUCGCGGCCUAUCAGCUUGUUGGUGGGGUAAUGGCCUACCAAGGCGACGACGGGUAGCCGGCCUGAGAGGGCGACCGGCCACACUGGGACUGAGACACGGCCCAGACUCCUACGGGAGGCAGCAGUGGGGAAUAUUGCACAAUGGGGGAAACCCUGAUGCAGCGACGCAGCGUGCGGGAUGACGGCCUUCGGGUUGUAAACCGCUUUCAGCAGGGAAGAAGCGAAAGUGACGGUACCUGCAGAAGAAGUACCGGCUAACUACGUGCCAGCAGCCGCGGUAAUACGUAGGGUACGAGCGUUGUCCGGAAUUAUUGGGCGUAAAGAGCUCGUAGGUGGUUGGUCACGUCUGCUGUGGAAACGCAACGCUUAACGUUGCGCGUGCAGUGGGUACGGGCUGACUAGAGUGCAGUAGGGGAGUCUGGAAUUCCUGGUGUAGCGGUGAAAUGCGCAGAUAUCAGGAGGAACACCGGUGGCGAAAGCGGGACUCUGGGGCUGUAACUGACAC
rnacentral:rRNA from 1 species